UGCAGCAACGCCGCGUGCGGGAUGACGGCCUUCGGGUUGUAAACCGCUUUUAGUAGGGAAGAAGGGCUUCGGCUUGACGGUACCUGCAGAAAAAGGACCGGCUAACUACGUGCCAGCAGCCGCGGUAAUACGUAGGGUCCGAGCGUUGUCCGGAAUUAUUGGGCGUAAAGAGCUCGUAGGCGGUUUGUCGCGUCUGCUGUGAAAUCUGGAGGCUCAACCUCCAGCCUGCAGUGGGUACGGGCAGACUAGAGUGCGGUAGGGGAGAAUGGAAUUCCUGGUGUAGCGGUGGAAUGCGCAGAUAUCAGGAGGAACACCGAUGGCGAAGGCAGUUCUCUGGGCCGUAACUGACGCUGAGGAGCGAAAGCGUGGGGAGCGAACAGGAUUAGAUACCCUGGUAGUCCACGCCGUAAACGUUGGGCGCUAGAUGUGGGGACCUUUCCACGGUUUCCGUGUCGUAGCUAACGCAUUAAGCGCCCCGCCUGGGGAGUACGGCCGCAAGGCUAAAACUCAAAGGAAUUGACGGGGGCCCGCACAAGCGGCGGAGCAUGCGGAUUAAUUCGAUGCAACGCGAAGAACCUUACCAAGGCUUGACAUAACCGAGAACGCCCUAGAAAUAGGGAACUCUUU
rnacentral:rRNA from 1 species